AUUGAACGCUGGCGGCAGGCCUAACACAUGCAAGUCGAGCGGAGGAGGGGAGCUUGCUCCGGGUUUCAGCGGCGGCCGGGUGGGUAUUGCCUGGGAAUCUCCCUGGUAGUGGGGGAUAACUUCCGAAAACGGGCGCUAAUACCCCAUACGUCCUGGGGGGAAAAGGGGGGGAUCUUCGGCCCCCACGCUAUCAGAUGAGCCUAGGUCGGAUUAGCUAGUUGGUGGGUUAAAGGCCUACCAAGGCGACGAUCCGUAACUGGUCUGAGAGGAUGAUCAGUCACACUGGAACUGAGACACGGUCCAGACUCCUACGGGAGGCAGCAGUGGGGAAUAUUGGACAAUGGGCGAAAGCCUGAUCCAGCCAUGCCGCGUGUGUGAAGAAGGUCUUCGGAUUGUAAAGCACUUUAAGUUGGGAGGAAGGGCAGUAAGUUAAUACCUUGCUGUUUUGACGUUACCAACAGAAUAAGCACCGGCUAACUUCGUG
rnacentral:rRNA from 1 species